UUAAAGCACCGGUUCCCACACGAUCACCGACGUUAAGCAACGUUUAGCCUGGUUAGUAUCUAGAUGGGUGACCGUUUUGGGAACAUCAGGUGCUGUAA